rnacentral:rRNA from 1 species
GAUGAACGCUGGCGGCGUGCCUAAUACAUGCAAGUCGAGCGAACAGACGAGGAGCUUGCUCCUCUGAUGUUAGCGGCGGACGGGUGAGUAACACGUGGAUAACCUACCUAUAAGACUGGGAUAACUUCGGGAAACCGGAGCUAAUACCGGAUAAUAUAUUGAACCGCAUGGUUCAAUAGUGAAAGACGGUCUUGCUGUCACUUAUAGAUGGAUCCGCGCUGCAUUAGCUAGUUGGUAAGGUAACGGCUUACCAAGGCAACGAUGCAUAGCCGACCUGAGAGGGUGAUCGGCCACACUGGAACUGAGACACGGUCCAGACUCCUACGGGAGGCAGCAGUAGGGAAUCUUCCGCAAUGGGCGAAAGCCUGACGGAGCAACGCCGCGUGAGUGAUGAAGGUCUUCGGAUCGUAAAACUCUGUUAUUAGGGAAGAACAUAUGUGUAAGUAACUGUGCACAUCUUGACGGUACCUAAUCAGAAAGCCACGGCUAACUACGUG